UACGUAGGGGGCAAGCGUUGUCCGGAAUCAUUGGGCGUAAAGAGCGUGUAGGCGGCCCGGUCAGUCCGCCGUGAAAGUCCAGGGCUCAACCCUGGAAUGCCGGUGGAUACUGCCGGGCUGGAGUCCGGAAGAGGCGAGUGGAAUUCCUGGUGUAGCGGUGAAAUGCGCAGAUAUCAGGAGGAACACCCGUGGCGAAAGCGGCUCUCUGGGACGGUACUGACGCUGAGACGCGAAAGCGUGGGGAGCAAACAGG
rnacentral:rRNA from 1 species